GCUUCAAAAGGAGCUGUUGUUUUGAUCAACAGGUUGUUACCAUUUAUUGUUCAGUGAAGAGAACUSCAUGCAUUGCUACUCUAUGGAUAUGAAGACAAUAUUCCUUUGUGGAAUUUUACUCCUUGCCGUGGUUUUCCCUGCUGAAGCAAGGAUAAUUGAAGGGGGUUGCGCAAAAUGCUACAAAGAGGGUUCCGAUGGAAAAUGUCAUAAAAUUGCUAAUUGUGAAGGACAGCAAAGUGUCAAGAGAUUCCAAUUGCCAUGGCCAAGAAAGCGAUUUCCACGACCAUGCCCUCAUUGCCCGCCAAUAGGCCGCCGAUAAGAAAACCUUUAAGGCAACCAAGCCGGCGAGAAUUACUUUUGAUAUUGCUGACUAAACACUGAUUAAAAGGCAAAUAUGUAUGGAACAUAGGCUGAUGCAAAAUGGAUAAACUGACAAAGGGCUAAAAAAAGUUAAUUAUACUAGGUAAUAUAGCUUCAAAGCGAAACAGUUAAAAUAUAUACUUUCAGACUCUAUAUUCUCUCAUUAAAAUAUACAAAUUGUAUUGUACAUGUCAACUUUAAUAUUCGAUUUAUUUUAAUAAACAAGUUGAUUUCCCGA